rfam:Pseudomonas syringae pv. japonica str. M301072 contig22.6, whole genome shotgun sequence.
AGCUUUGUGGAUUAAGGCGUUGGAGUUAUCAACUAUUCGUCGAAGGUAGUCUGGAUCUCACGACUACGAUGCGUUCUACGCAUUGAUCCAACCUAAAGUUCGCAAAGCUUCCGGAGGCGCGAACGAUCGGUGUUUCAAACGCCGAUGGAUGC